rnacentral:sRNA from 1 species
AAAAAAGAAAGAAGAAGAGAGUGAAGAACCUGGAUC